rnacentral:rRNA from 1 species
UACGUAGGGGGCAAGCGUUGUUCGGAUUUACUGGGCGUAAAGGGUGCGUAGGCGGCGUAACAAGUCACUUGUGAAAUCUCCGGGCUUAACUCGGAAUGGCCAAGUGAUACUGUUAUGCUAGAGUGCAGGAAGGGCAACUGGAAUUCUUGGUGUAGCGGUGAAAUGCGUAGAUAUCAAGAGGAACACCUGAGGCGAAGGCGAGUUGCUAGACUGACGCUGACGCUGAGGCACGAAAGCUAGGGGAGCGAACGGG